GCGCGAGUGGCGAAAUGGCAGACGCGCUGGCUUCAGGUGCCAGUGUUCGAAAGGACGUGGGGGUUCAAGUCCCCCCUCGCGCA
rnacentral:tRNA from 1 species